GACGUAGGGCGCGAGCGUGUCCGGAUUUAUUGGGCGUAAAGAGCUCGUAGGCGGCUUGUCGCGUCGACUGUGAAAACCCGUGGCUCAACCAUGUGGUCUGCAGUCGAUACGGGCAGGCUAGAAUUCGGCAGGGGAGACUGGAAUUCCUGGUGUAGCGGUGAAAUGCGCAGAUAUCAGGAGGAACACCGGUGGCGAAGGCGAGUCUCUGGACGACACCUGACACUGAGGCACGAAAGCUAGGGGAGCAAACAGG
rnacentral:rRNA from 1 species